UACGUAGGGUGCGAGCGUUAAUCGGAAUUACUGGGCGUAAAGCGUGCGCAGGCGGUUUUGUAAGCCAGAUGUGAAAUCCCCGGGCUUAACCUGGGAAUGGCAUUUGGGACUGCAAGGCUGGAGUGUGGCAGAGGAGACUGGAAUUCCUGGUGUAGCAGUGAAAUGCGUAGAUAUCGGGAGGAACACCAGUGGCGAAAGCGGCUACCUGGCCCAUUCUUGACGCUGAGGCGCGAAAGCUAGGGGAGCAAACGGG
rnacentral:rRNA from 1 species